rnacentral:sRNA from 16 species
CGCCCAAUGAUAUCAACACCUCGCUGAUUCCUGCCCACCCGAAGGUCUCGAGGCGAGUGGGGUCGUCGAGGAAAGGCCGACAACGGUGGGAACCAUGAUACUGAUUAUGAGAGAUGAGGGCU